AUCUAUGAUCUGUGACGUUCUUUGCCGUUGUUGAUGUAGUUGAUUGGUUGAUUUUGUGUUACGUGGUGGUGGGAGGUUGAUAAGUUGUGGGGCUAUUAGUGUGGUAACUUAUUUGAUUUUAUUGAAGUAUUUUUACGAUGUCUUGUAGUGAAUAGGCCCCCGUUAUGUUUGUAAAGAAUUAUACAGGAGCAUUAUACAUGUAACUGAGAAUUGAUAAGAACAGUUAUUUGCUUUUGUUUAAAUUGUUUCACCGGAAUCCAACAAGUUACCCCUGACGUGUAUUUCUCGUGUGAGAGUAGGUCUGGUAUUGUAACCUAGCCCACUGGACUCGUGCUGGAAGAUGUGGUACUGCGUACAGCAUGUUUUUACGUCGGCGAUUCCCCCAUGCGUUAUCUAUUGUAAUGAUCAUUGGGGGAUUAUUUAUAUCUUUAUUCAUCCUAAGAAAAAUGAAGUACCUGUACGAUAGCAACCAGAAAUAUCACAGGCUUGAAAGUUACAAACAGUAUAUGGAGGAAAUUUCUGACUACAUGCACCAUGUUGAGGUGUCAGCCAACAAAUCAGCCAACAAUUUACAUCGCUUGAACUCUGGACUUCAGAGGCAACAGCAGCAACUAGUGAUAGGAAUGAGUACUGAUAAAUCUACAGGAAGAUGACAUAUAAGUGUAGCUCAGCCAGGAACAGGGUGAGACACAGAGCACAGGUCAUAUGGAGGCAGUGGUGCAGAACUUUCCUCAAACUUGUGUCAUAUCCCAGCAGACCAGAAUAAGGACACCCACCACCAUCAAAACCUGAAAAUUUAUAUCUCACAUUAUAUUGCCGUGUGAAUCUCACACUGCCUGUGAUAAUUUAUUAGUUUUCUAAUUUCUUUUGGUCAUAGCUGUUAUGGCAUAUAGUGUACAGGUAAUUUUACAUGAUUACAUAUGUUUAUUAUGUAGUUCUUGUUUAAAGAACUUAUGUAUAUAUAAACUGUUGUUAUGUAAUGAUGUCCUCAGAAAAAUUCGUUGAGAUUGGUGCUGUAAUUUGCUUUAUGGUCUACUGAAAUAAGGCCCAAAAACAUAAUGUGAAUAUCAUAUAAAGAUCUGUUCACUGUAGAACUUAAGCACUUCUCUUGAGUCAGAUUCAUUUAUAGUACUUUCAUCAGUUUAAUAUGCUGGGGCAUCUGAAAGAUAAUUAUGUUUAAAUCAUUUCAUAGGUCAAGUCUGUGGAUCUUUCAUUAAAGAAGUUUUUGGAACCA